GUUUUCAGUUUGGAAUUGAGAAAAAGAAUCUGGGAAGAGUGCGAAUGCGUGAAUGGAUCUUAAGUUAUAACCUCAUAUGAACUCGCCAUUUUAUUCCCUAUUUGUCGUUUGUCGUUUAUCGGUUCUCCUCCUCACUAGUUUGAUUGAAAUUACAAUAGGAACGAAACGACGAGGUUAAUUAAGGAUAAUCAAGGAGCUUAUUCUUGAGAGAGGUAGAAAAGAAGGGGAAAGAGGUUUUGAGUUUCAGAAUUGAAAAAUAAGAAAAAAUGAAGACUACGAAGGGCGGCAAGGUCAUGAACGCUACCGAUGCUUAUCGAAAGGAGCUUCCCAAGAAGGAAUUGAAAAGGAAUAAGAAGGAAAGGAAGAAGGUGAGGGAAGUGGGAAUUCUUAAGAAAGAUCCUGAACAGCUGAAGAAACAGAUUGAGAACUUGGAAAUGAUGAGAAUAUGAAGAUAAAAGGAAGGAGAAGGGUGAGACCCCUGUUAUGUUCAGAGUGCUCAUCGGAAAGCAUUGGAUAUGCUGAACACAGUGG